ACCCUGGACGGGGGAUCACUCGGCUCGUCCGUCGAUGAAGAGCGCGGCCAGCCGCGAGAACUGAUGCGAAUUGCAGGACUCAGUGAACAUCGACACCUCGAACGCACAUUGCGGCUCCGAGAUCCCUUGUCUCGGGGCCCCGUCCGGUCGAGAGGCGGAAAAUUGCACGUCUUCUUGUCGUAUAACGAAAGACGUCUCACCGUCCCCGCGCGGGCUGCAGCUUGCAGCCACCUUCACCGUCGCGCGGUGGAAACCGGGAAGUCGCAGGCUCCUCGCCUUCGUCUCCCGCUUUGCAGACCGCGGAGUCGCUCCCGUUUGACCGCGUGCAGAGCAAAGCGUAGCUGGCGUCGGGAACCCGUUCCCCUCGUCCUCGGUAACGCGCUCCAGCCACGACGAAAGCAGUUCUAUCCGUGGCCGCCGCUUAGCGAGCGCCAGCUCGUCUCGCUCUUUGGGGUAACGUCACUUGACCUUGAGCGUUGCGAGCAGAGCAGUCUUACCGCGGUGUCGUCGCUACCUUUAAACCCUUAACUUAACCACCGCCCUCGGCUCGGUCGAGACGACCCGCUGAACUUAAGCAUAUCGCUAAGCGGAGGAAAAGAAACCAACCGGGAUUCCCUUAGUAACGGCGAGUGAACCGGGAGAAGCCCAACGCCGAAUCCCGUCGCAAGUAAAAGGCUUCGGGACGUGUGGCGCACGGGUCGAAGGCAGCCGUUCGUUCUGUCUCGCGUAGUUCGGAGUUCCCUCGAUCGGGGCCGCCCGUGGCGGGUGCCAGGCCCAUUCGGUGCGGACGACGAGCGACGGCCUUCGAUCCGAGAGUCGGGUUGCUUGGGAACGCAGCCCAAAUCGGGUGGUAAGCUCCAUCCAAGGCUAAAUACCGGGACGAGUCCGAUAGUCGACAAGUACCGUGAGGGAAAGUUGAAAAGAACUUUGGAGAGAGAGUUCAAGAGAACGUGAAACCGCCCAGGGGUAAACGGGUGGGACCGUUCACCGCGAUCGCGGGGGGACUCAGUCCGGUGCUGCACAAGUUGCCCAAACUCGAUUUGUGUGCGGCGGCGGGGUCUUCGGGCUCCGUCGUCGUUCCCAGGCCGGGUGGACGUCGUUCUUCGGAUGUGCUUUUGCGCUCGUGUCGCUGACGGAGGGUGGGGUUCUUCUCCUCCUUCUCGCUCGGCAUUAAUGGCGCGGGCGCUUCGGCGCGACGUCAAACUUAUCCAUCACCCGGUCGGCUCCGGACGCACUUCCCCUCCGGUCCGUCGUCGCGACCCGUUCCCGGCGUGCAGGUCGACGCGCGGUGCUCGUAGGCGGAAGUCGAACUUAAACUCUUUCCCUCGGGACGGAGUCGUCUUCUGUCGGGCCCGCGAACGUACUGCCCCUUUCUGCCGGGGACGGAGGAACCAACGCGUGAUCCUUUACACGUGGCGAGCCGGUCCUUUCUCGCCGGACGUCCCGCGCGACCUCACCUUCGCCCCACCGUCUUGGGCGCGCGCGGGAAAUAGCGCGAGUCUCGGGACCGGCGCGGCCGCGUCGGGCACCUCGCCGGCUUCCGGGUCCCUUGGCUCCGGCCUCGGGUCCGGGCGACCGGCGUUCUUGCCUCGGCGCCGCUUUACUCUGCCGCCCGCCACUUCGGGUCAGCGACGUGCAUCGGCAACCCACCCGACCCGUCUUGUAACACGGACCGAGGAGUCCUGGCCGUUCGCGAGUCGUAGGGGCCCCUUACUAACCCCGGAGGCGUAGCGAAAGCGAGAGAGCGUGUCGGAGGGCACCGGUCCGGAGAGGUGUAUCGGCGAAGCGGUCCCCUCGGGGGUCGUCGAGCCGUUCCCGAUCCUGCCGGCGCGGCGAGUUACUCGUGACUUUCCGUCGUCCGCCCCGCGUUCGUUGUCAUCGCCGUGGUCUUCGGAUUUUCCCGUCCGCGGGAGAUGAUGUUUGCGGCCGCGGCGGACGUUCGUGCGGGUUGUGUUCACGGCGGCGCCACCUUCCUCCUUCCGCCCACCGGUGAGAUCCCGCGGCUUGAACCAGCACACUUUUGUUCGUCGAGUUUAGGCACUGCACGCGGGCGCAUCACCCCCGGGUCGGUUUCCGAGUACGACUCGGCCGACUCAGGCGUAGCGAGCGACCAGGGACCCGAAAGAUGGCGAUCCACGCCCGGUCGGGAUGAAGCCAGAGGAAACUCUGGUGGAAGUCCGAAGCGCCUCUGACGUGCAAAUCGAUCGUCGGAACCGGGUGUAGGGGCGAAAGACCAAUCGAGCCGUCUAGUAGCUGGUUCCCUCCGAAGUUUCCCUCAGGAUAGCUGGCGCUCGAUCGUCGCAAUUCCAUCCGGUAAAGCGAACGAUUGGAGGCCCCGGGGCCGUUCACGGCCUCGACCUACUCUCGAACUCGGAACGGGUGGAACGGGUCGACUCUCCCGAAUAACUCACGGAGCCGACCCCCUCCGGCGGCUAGUGGCCUCGGCCGCUGGCCGUCGGAACCUCGAAUGCGAGUGCCAAGUGGGCCACUUUUGGUAAGC
rnacentral:rRNA from 1 species